rnacentral:rRNA from 1 species
UACGGGGGGAGCAAGCGUUGUUCGGAUUUACUGGGCGUAAAGGGCGCGUAGGCGGUUAGCACAAGUCAGUUGUGAAAUCUCCGAGCUUAACUCGGAAAGGUCAACUGAAACUGUGCGACUAGAGUGCGGAAGGGGCAACUGGAAUUCUUGGUGUAGCGGUGAAAUGCGUAGAUAUCAAGAGGAACACCUGCGGCGAAGGCGGGUUGCUGGGCCGACACUGACGCUGAAGCGCGAAAGCCAGGGGAGCGAACGGG